GGUAUUAAUAGUGAGGUGCUAUGAUUAUAGGUUGUAGAAUCUUAUUGGAGGUAUAGUUCGGGCGUAGAUGCAUAAUUACGAGGUAGGGUAUAAAUCAUUAAAUAAUCACUUCUAUAUGAAAAUCAGGUACAUUUGGUUAUAUCACAGACGUAAUGUAUAUUGCACUAUAGAGGUAAAUAUAUGAAUGGGACAAGCACAACAUGUAAUUAAGUCAACCUAAUUCUAAUAAUGCACUUGUCUAUCACGGAAUUUAAAUCUAUAUUGCACUAAUACUUUAUGUCUUUGACAUGGUAAAUACCAAUGGAUUUUCCUUGCAUAUCCUCGAGUUCAUACAUGUUUUGUCCAACGGGCUUGACAAUUCGGGCUUUAACAAAUUUUUUGCAGAAUUUUGAAUUAAUAUUUUUCGAAAAGUCGGAUAAGACGGUAUUUCGCCGGUAGACUUCUUGUCCAGGUCGAAAUUUACACACCCUUGCACGUUUAUUAUAUUUUUCAGAACUUUUUAUGUAAACUCGAUGUAAAUUUUCUUUUAUAUUGGCUCUUAUGAGUUCUAGCUUACUUGGUCUAUCCAUAUUACUGAGCUCAUGGUCGGUUAAGGAUUUCAAUUUCCUUGCCAAGCUAUAAUCCUGUCCAUUUGAGUACAUAUGAAAGCCAAACAACGCAAAGAACGGCGUAACCCCAGUCGAAGUGUGUAUAGAAUUUCUCAAUGCACAUUCUAUUUCGGAUAAAUACAUAUCCCAGUCUCUAUGAUCUUUAUCGAGAUAUGCCCGAAUGGCACAAAUUACCGACUGGUUCACACGUUCCGAUGCGUUGGACUGUGGCGAAUAUAUGGCUGUUUUCAUAUGAUUUAUUUGAUAAGUUCCCAUCAGCUCUUUGAACAUUUUGGAGGUAAACUGCGCACCAUUAUCGCUGUGGAUCACUUCGGGGACACCAAAUUUAUAAAAAAUUUCAUCGACAAGGAAUUUUAUCACGUUGCCGACGGUUGCCUCCCUCAUUGCUUUGAGAAAGGUGAAUUUAGUGAAGUGAUCCACAACGAUGAAAAUGUAUGCAUUACCUUUUUUCGAUCUUGGGUAUUUUCCUAAAAAAUCUAUAUACAGCUUUUGGAACGGCCUAUCAGUUACUACCUCCUUUCCUAUACUGGGCAUCAUAUGCUGAUUGCUAGCUUUGGUUUCCUUACAAACCUGACAGUUCCUUACGUAUUCACGCACUUGAACGGUCAUUCGAGGCCAAUAGAAGAAUCGUCUUAUACGUUCAAGGGUCUUUAUUAUCCCGCCAUGUGCAGACGUCAUAGAAUUAUGGGCUUUUUUUAUUAUUUCCGAGGUUAUACUUGAGGGAAUCCAUAACCUCCAUGUGAGUUCCUCAUUUUCUUCCAAGCUAGGUAGUACCUUUUUAAAAACAUACCCAUCUUCUACUUUUAAAUCUGGCAACUUUUCUUGGUUGUCGGUAACAGUUUUAAUGAGAUCAAGAUAUUCUUGACUCUCGAAUUCCAGGGUUUCAAAAUCUAAGUAGUCAUUUUUCGUGAUUUCGCUAACAUUGGCAACUGGAGCCCUCGACAACAUGUCCGCUACAACAUUCUCGCUUCCUUUCCGGUGUUCUAUAUUAAAAUUAAAUGCCUGCAAUUGUAAUGACCACCUAGCUAGUCUUCCCGUUAAAUCCUUUAAGGACAUAAGCCAUUUUAAAGAAGCGUGGUCCGUUAUUACAGUGAAUGGCAUCAAUUCCACAUAUGGUCGAAACUUUUUGAUAGCCAUCACUGCAGCUAGACAUUCUUUUUCUGUCACGCUAUAAUUGCGUUGACAGGAAUUUAACUUUUGCGAAUAAAACGCUAUGGGGUGUUCUUCCCCCUUAUUAUUUAGUUGAUAUAGCACAGCCCCAAUUCCACAUUCCGAAGCAUCGCAUUGAAUGUAGAAAUGUUUUGAAAAAUCCGCAUGGCGAAGGACUGGGGCAGAUGUUAAAGCCUUUUUUAAUGCUUCAAAAGCUUUUCUAGCUUCCUCCGUGAUUUUAAAGUUCUUACUCUUUUUUAGGGUAUCGGUAAGUGGAGCGGAGAUGGUGGCAAAAUCUUUAAUGAAACGCCUAUACCAUCCCGCUGUCCCUAAGAAGCUUCUAACUUCUCUAGCGCUACGUGGUUCUGCGAUCUUUUUAAUGGCUUUUACCUUGUCUGGGUCCGUCUUUAGUUUUCCAUCGCCAAUGAUAAAUCCCAAAUACCUCAGUUCGCGGAAACAGAACUGGGAUUUCUUAAGCCCUAUCGUUAGAUUUGCUUUCUUUAAGCACUCUGCUACUUCCCAUAAUAGACGCAAAUGUUCGUCAAAAUCACUAGAGAUGACCAGCAAGUCGUCUAAAUAAAUGAAAACGUUUUCUUUCAGGUGUGACGGUAUAACUUUGUCCAUCAACCUACAUAAGCGUUGGGCCGCGUUACAAAGACCGAAAGGCAUCACCCUAAAUUGAUAUAACGGGCGACCAGGGACUGUAAACGCUGUGUAUGCUUUGCUUUCAUCAUCUAAUUCUAUCUGCCAAAAUGCAAACUUUAAAUCAACACUGCUGAUGUAGUAUGUCUCGUCGAUUCUGCUUAAGAUGCCCUCAAUAUUUUGGAGCGGAUACGCAUCCUUCACGGAGGUUUUUUUCGGAGAGGAGUGGUGUGUGCGGUUGCAGGCUAUUAUGGUCUUUAUGGAACUGAUGGAUCAAUCAAACAUUAACACAAAAUUAAAAUAAAAAAAACAACAAUUUAAUACGUGCACUAUAACGCCUCCCACCGAAGACGUUACAGCUUUCCCAGAUCAUCUAAACGGAUACAUCUGUCCUCUGGUUAAAUCCAGAGCGGAUAUCCUGUUAAUGAAUCUGUGUCACUUUUAAAUUUCAAACGGAUACUAUUCUCUGCCAUCUAUCCAAGAUAAUUUGUGCGAAACCGCUUAACCUUCUGAUCAGCGGGUCACAAACUAUCUUGUGGUCUAUUUCCAAGUGUCUCGAUGGAAUACACUUCCUAACUUCUACAAACCCUAUGGUUUCUUUGGUUUGGGCGCCAUAUUGUUAUGUGUCCCUCUUAGGCAGCCUGAGAUGUCUUGAUAUCGCCGACCAGCUCUGCCGACUCCCAUUGGGGUGAGUCCCAUCCCAACAUCCGGCUCAGGAACAACAACAAUAAACUAUGGGAAUUCACCAACAAAAGAACAACACUAUAAUGAUGAACAUGAUACCAUCCAAAUCCAUAACGUCUGUUGACA